rnacentral:lncRNA from 1 species
UUUAGGGAUGUGAUGUUGAGAUCAGAUCAAGUAUUUGAAUAUUCAGAAGCAUCAAAACUUCCUUGGGACACUCCAGUCAGCCCCAAAGUGUCUUUAAGUUUGGCAUGCAAGAUGGUCCUCAGCUGUUACUGAUGAUUCCUCUGCAAAAUCCCUUUUCUUUAUUUUGAUCGAUCUCAAGUAUGCAAUUUGAAGUUCCUCGGCCCACUUAGCCACACCCAAAUCAGUCACGUGAUAAAGCAAUUCCAUGACAACAAUAGGAUCAAACGGGAUACAAACUAAUUAGCAAAUUCUUGAGCUCCUCAUCCCAGCUUGUUUCACAGAUAGGCAAAAAAUUGUCCUUUAAUGCAAAAGGCCAUCGAUACAGUUGAUUGAAUUGAAGUCCCAAAGUAAGCCUAGAUCGUUAUAUAGACCAACCAAACCUGUCAUAGAAGCAGCACCAAUUUGCCUUGCUUAAUAAUCUUUCAAAACAAUAGUUUGCCUACUGGUAAUGUUAAGGUGGUCAACAUUCAUACACGACAAACUAGCCAAAACUACUUUUAACAUUUUUUUUGUCACCAACCAAAAACACUCAAACCGUGAAUUUAAUUUUAGCUCAGUUCACCAUAUAUACUGGGAAGUGAUGCUCUUCUUAGAGGGUUAAUGAGGGCCAUCAAGGGAACAAUAAGAAACUUGACAGGGUUUUCGUUCAUCACAGAAAAUCAGAAGGCGUUCGUCCUAAACAGGACAUCUGCCAUUAGUCAAAUUUGACAUACAAAAGAACUAAAGGAACUCAAAAUGGCCAAGGAUUUUGAAAAGAAAAUAUGAACUUUGGACACUGGGAAAUUUCGAGUUUAGUAUACAAUAAUACAAUAAUGAGUAGCAGAAGUUCAUUGGCCUCUAGAUGAAAAUUUCAAAUCCUGGGUUUGCUAAUAGGGGAACUGUAAAUCACUAGGUAAUUCUUGUUUACCUUUGUUGAUAUUUUCAUUAUUGCCUCGCAAGCUGCUAUCUGUUUGCAGUCUACAGAAGCUGCCAAUGGAAGGAUAAAUGAAAAACAUUGCUAUAAUGUAAUCAACAACAAUUAUACAAAGGAAAAUUUAGAGUUUCCAAAAACAAUCAAAUAGAUAUCCAGUGUGAAGCAUAUCAUUCUAAAAAAAUACAGCUUCGAGAAAAGUAUCACUAUUUGUUCACGCUGGCCAUUCAAAGGAUGGAGUAUCUUACUAUGCCUUCUAUUGACAUCAGGGUCUGCAUUUUGAUCUUGGCUAAAGCAUCAUGUCAGCUUCUACGACCAACUGCCCCACUCCUUUCAAUUAUGUAAGAAUAGCAAUUUAGGAAAGUACAGAACCCCAUUGCAGAAAACCUUCUUGUCAAAAGAAGAUAGUGAUGAAAUGUAGGUCAUGAAUCUCAGACGAAAAAUGAUUGUUCACUGCUUAUUUACCUCUAUUCAGGAAACAUCACUCCAUCAAUCAAAAGACAGAUCUUGUUCAUAAUUUCUAAAGAUGCGAGUUCCAAAUAAGUUCGGUGUUGCUUCCAAUGAGUCACAACCAGAAAUAUCCAAAUCAAUUAAAUUCAACUUUUCAAGUCCCUGAAGCUGUGUAAGUUUCUUGCAGUCUCGAACUCUUAGAGAUCGUAACUUCACACAUCUCGUCAAAUCUGGCAAAGUCUCCAUUGAUUUACAUCCUGUAAAAUCCAACUCUUCUAAGAACUCCACACGGCCAAGACCUAUUAUUUCGACUAGAUUGUCGCACCCAACAGCCACUAAUUUCUUCAAACACCGUGAUAUUGGACCAAAAAAACUUUUAAUGGAAUUGCAGUCAUAUAAAAAUAUGACCUCCAAGGACUCCAAAGCUAUAUUUGAUCCAAUAAUUAAAACUAGGCUAUUGCAAUGCUCAACACGUAAUCGUUUCAGAUGAAUCAAUCCUGAAAGGCCCAAUGUUUUAAUGGAACUGCACUUUUUAAUUGAAAGCUCUUCCAAGUGCAUGAAUCCGCUGAGCCGAAGUAAUGUUAGGUUAUCCCACUCCUCAAAACAGAGUUUCAAUGGUAUUGAGGAAAGCUCGUGGAUGUCUUCGAGUAUAUGGCAUACCUCAAGAUGGAGUUUUCUUAGGUGGAUGAGGCUAAAAAGCUGUGGCAGUGUAAGGCUCUGACAAGUGACCGACAGAUUUGUUAAGCCCGAAGGAAGCCUUGGCAGCAACCGGAGCUCCUUACAGCCGUUUAGUUUGAGGCGUCGGAGAGAAGAAGGAAGCUCUGGCAGCAACCAGAGCUCCUCACAGCUCCCUAGGUCAAGGCGUUGGAGAGAAGAAAGAUUCCGGACGCUUUCUGGCAGGUCAAAUAUCGGUGUUGCAUAGAGAUUGAGAAUCUCAAGGGAAGGCAAGUCACCGAUUUCACUUGGAAUUGCCCCUUUCAAACUAGUGCACCAGAUCAUUUCUAGAGUCCGCAGAUUUUUCAACCUUCCAAUAGCACUGGGAAGCUUUUCGAUCUCAGAAUUACUCAAGUCCAGAUGUUGCAAAUUCUGUAAAUCCCCAAUUGAGCUAGGGAUUUCUCUUAGUGAAUAACAUUCGCAGGCAGUCAGUUUCUCCAACUUCCUCAGAGAACCAAUGGACAUAGGAAUCUCUGUAAUACCAGAAAGAUUUAAUAUAAGUUCUUCUAAAUCUUUUAAUUCGCGCACCUCUUCUGGUAGCUUUUUGAGACUUCUACAGUGAUUCAAAUCUAAGGAAACGAGGCUCGUGAGUUUGCCAAUAGAAGGGUGGAGAUCCUCUAGGUUGUAACAUCCGAACAAGAUGAGAAUCUUCAACUGUGUAAAAGCCGAGAGAUCAGGAGUACAUCUUAAAUUUUCGCAAUUCGUAAGGUCGAGAACUUUAAGCCGCUUUGACGCCUAAUACGAAAGAGAAUAAACUGUUAAGGAAGGAGUUGAUUGGCUAAACAAAAACAAAACCCUAAAAUCGCAGAGAUAAUGUUCUUCUUCUCCUAAUCUUACCAUGAACAAACUCCAUCCUUCCCAAUCCUCUGUGAUCUGUUCCCAUGAUGAUAACCACAACACCGAUAAAUUCGGUAGAUGCAAAUUGAUCGGUAGAAAAAACAAAUCGCGAGGACGGACCUGAAGCCAUCUCACUGAAAAGAGUUCCAUGGAGUCUUUGCUUGAAGCUGCCCCGAGAAAGUUGUGGAAACAGGGGCGUCUCUGCAAGUUUUUUAACUUUUUAGUUUUCGCUUUUUUAAAUCUUGGAUUUGCACGAUUGAUACCUUUUUAUCCUUCCCCUGUACCUUUUGACGACCUUUCGAAAAUUAAACAAAUGACGUGAAGAUAAAGAAAAAGAUAGUUAUUGCUUUAAAACAACUAAGACAAAUGCACCUCAAUGUUUUAUCCCUUGCUUUUUUCUUUAUCAAAUUUUGUAGCACGUAUAUUUUGACUUUCAUUUAAGAUGAAAUACGAGAAACCAUUUUACAACGUAUAAAUAUUUACUUGUAAAUUUUCAUAAGACUUCUCCAUCAUUUCUCUAAAGAACGUGUCAAAGAGUGCCAGUGGGCCACUUGUAAGUAGCUAAGGAAGCACCCGGUUUCCAUUUCAUUAGUUAAAUGUAACAAUGUGGAAGAGGAAAAAAGGGGGAAUUUUUAAUUAUAUUCCGAUAUAUAUAAAGAAGAUUACAUGGUGGAAAAUCAAAAGAAAUCAAAAAUGAUAUGCAUAAUCAAAAUGGAUAUAAAAAAUCAAGAGAAAUAUCCUAAAUAUCUCUAAAAGAUAUCUAAAUAUCUUUAACAUCAUUAACUAUUUGUGUGAAGUGUUCACUCAUUCUUUGAAAAUUGAAACUUUUUUAUUUUUGGUAAAAUAUGUUUAAAAAGUGACACGGUGACAUUGGUUAGCAGUUUUGACAGGGAUUGAAAAAAUAAGUCGAUUUCAUAACUAAAACAUGAACCGGUUAACUAAAAAGUGACGUAGUGACAUUGUUUAAUCAUCAUAUGUCCGUUUCCAUAAGAACGGAAUCGUUCCUUUUUCCAUCUUAUAAAUAAAAAAACAUAUUGUUUAACUUUCCUACUAAAACAUAUCAUUUAAUUAGUUGAAGAUGGUGAAAAAUAAAUUCCCUUAUGGCUUUAAUUGACUUUAAUAAGAAUACCUACAUUUUCCCCCAAAAGUUUUUUUUUUUUGGUCGGUUUGACACAUUUGUCGUUGUCUGCUUCAAUAUUAACCAGUGAAAUGCAAUGGGUAUAAGUUCUAUUAAGUCUAUUUGUCAAAGAAGUCGCUAAAUUGUUGUAAUCACCAUCCCAUGCUAUCUUUCAUAAUUUUCGCUUGUACAUCGAUCUAUACUGUGUAUUACAUAAAAAAAUCUACUGUAUGAAAAGGGAAUUUCAAACAUCAAACUCUCCUCAAAAGUUUUCACACAAUUCGUAUAUAUUUCACCAAAAUGAACUAAAGAAUUAGGAUAUAACAAAAUAGACAUAAUCAUAUUUGAAAUAGUCAAGAAAAUUGGAAAUUAAUCCCAUUAUUAUUUCAAUUUCCAAAGUUAAAUCAAAAUCUGUCGAAUUGUACAAUCAUUUAAUUUUUUUUCCGACACUAUUUAUCCACUUUCAGCAUUUUUGUCCAUUCAAAACAGAAUUGACUUUUCUUUUUCAUUUUUCCAAACACAAGUAUGGUGUGCUCUUUUUGCUAAUGUUAAGAAGUUAUUGGAUCAACAAAAGACUGUGACAUUAAAUCAUAGGAAUGAACUAUUUCAAAUUAUAUCAAGAAUAUAAAGCUGCUUUAUUUGCCCAACAUCUCUUAGUCAAUUUCUAGGGUUAAUUCCUCUCCAUUGAUCAGCCGUGACCCUAUGACGCUUAUCAGAUGGACAAUAUAUAAUAAAAUGACAUGAACAUUGAUAAUUUAAGUAAAAGAUAAAAGAAUCUUAUUGUUUUGAAUUAAUUAUCAGUUAUUGUAAUUGGCACAUACUAUCUUCUUUUUUAACCGAGAAAUCUUCAUUUAUUUGAUUUACAAUGUUUUUACUUCAUCUACAUUCGUUCUUGUAGUCCUUCAGAUUAUCAAUAUUUUCAACUAGAUAUGACAAUGGCAUGCUUUUAGUAAAUGAGUUUUAUAGAGCAAAAUUGUAGUUAAAAGAUCUUAAAUUGAUUGUCAAGCGAAUUUUUACAUAUGUAAUUUAUAUUAAUGAGAUCGAAUCAAAUGGUAUAACUUUUUCAUCCUUUAAAUACUUAUAAUCCAUUUAGCUGUCACAAAUAAUCUAAGAUGGACAUACAUGGAUGUUUACAUAGAUCUUUUUUCCUAAUAAGUAAGAGCAUCUAUUCAUCCUCGAUGAAAUAUUAGAAUAGAUCAGAUUAAAUAUAUUGAAAUAAGAGGGAAAGAAAAAGAAAGGAGUGCCAUAUUUUACCCAUUCAUUAAUUCUUAGUACUUUUGGGACUCCCUCGUAGUCGUCAUCCCAUGGUCCGCUAUGUUUCUCAGGCGAUUGUCCUUGGCAAAAAAUACUCCUUCCAAGAUCUCUCAAUUGAUCAUGCAUCUCAAAUUGACCAUAAUUUCCAAUCUUAAUCUCUCAAUUGAUCAUGCAUCUCAAAUUGACCAUAAUUUCCAAUCUUAAUUAAGCACCUCAACUUCAGCUCUUCAAUACCUUGACUUGGAUAAAGCCCACAGUCCUCCCACAUGUACAUGGCGUAUUUGGCGUAUUCACUCCUUUCGCCAAUAAAGAAACAAACAAUAUCGAGAAAAAUCUGCUUAUGUCCAUCUUCUAAUGCAUCAUAACUUAUUUGCAAUAUUUUUUGGACGUCUCUAUGCAGUUGGCUUUUUAACUGCUUUCGCACAUCUUCCCAUACUUUUCGAUUCGGUUUUUUAUACAAGUAUGAACCUACGACCUUAAGUGCCAAGGGAAGCCCACCCAUGGUGGAUACAAUAUCACGAGAUAGACCCUCAAAGUCCUUCGAAGAAUGGUCCAUAUAAAAUGCAUGUCUAUUAAACAAAAGCAAAGCAUGCUCUUGAUCCAAUUCAUUCAAAUCAUACUUGUGUACAUUGAAUUCAGAUUGAUCAAGAAUGGCUUUAUAUCUGGUUGUAACAAUAAUAAUACUUCCCGCCAUAAACCAAUUAUGUUCUCUAGCCAAAGCAUUUAAUUGAUCCUCGUGAUCUAUAUCAUCCAGAAGAAUGAGAACAUUUUUUCCUUUGAAACUAGAUUUGAUCAAACUAAUUCCAUCAUCAACAUUCCCAAAUUUAGGUUCAAUUUUCGGAAUGUCCUCAAUUAGUUGCUUUUGUAAACAAACAAUAUUGUUGUGGCAAGCUGUUUCUCGAAUAUUUGCAAGGAAGCUACGAUGCACAAAGUCCUUUAACAGCUGGUUAUAGAUUACCUUGGCAAGAGUUGUUUUUCCAAUCCCACCCAUGCCAUAGAUUCCAAUCAUUCGAGCAUUAGUGGUAGGAGCAUCUACCCAUUUCAUGAUUCUGUUCACAUGAUCAUCUAUUCCAACUAAGUGCUUAGUAACAUCAAGCUGAAAAUCUUGUCGCAACUUGCUCAGAACAUUUUCAAUUACUUUUUUCACUAAUUCUCCUUCAUACCUGUCCAACAAAAAAACUCAUUGAUAAUUUCGUGAUUAUACUUAAUCUCAUCAAAAGGCACCGAUAGACGUGAAGAAUGGAUGGGACCAAUUAACAUGCAAGAUGUUUUGGUUUUACAAAUAACAAUGGGGGAUGAUGGCCAGCAGUCAUUUCAUUUUUUCUUCUCUCUUUUGCUAGAUGGAUCUUGUUGAAAGAAAAUAAGGAGGUGCACUUGGCUCGUUAAGAGUCUUUAGUAAGUGUAAUGUUUGUUACAAGGCUUAUUAUUGGUGCUAGUUAAAUGGUAGGAGGCCAAUUUUGUUUUAAUUAAAGAAGUUUAGAAUAAAAGUAGGUUACUCCACUCUAAGGCCAGGGCUUCUCACAUGCUAAAAUUGAGGACUUAUAAUUGAUUUACAAAUCGCUACCAAUGGGGUCUACUGACUGUGGAAAUCAAACCUAGACAUGGUAAAUGUGAAGUGUCCGGUUCUUUUCACUUGAGCCAACUUCCAUUCGCAUGAGGAGGUCUAUUUUAUCUGGUGGUGAUAAAGCUUUGAAAUACUGAGCAUUCAAGUCCUCUCUAAGCGUAUUGUUUGGUGAUUGACACGAUUGGUCGGAGGGGUUGUCAUUUCUUUGAUUUUUGCUUUGUUGGAGACAAUUGUAUUUCAUCUAUUUCGCAUGAACAAGAAAAUUUACUGGAUAAUUACUAAAAUAAUCCUAAAUUUAUUAUAAUUGUGCCAAUUCAGUCUUAAAUUUUUUUCAUGGCCAAUUUAGUCCUAAACAUUUUGAAAAUAUGUUGAUGUAAUCUAUCUAGCCAAUUUUGAUUAGAAAUCACAAAUGUAAACACCAACCGUCUUACAUGGCACAAUCAGUAUUGACGUGAAUAAUUUUUAUAAUUUUUUAUAAUUUUUUCUGAAUUUUGUUGGAUUUGUUUAUAUUUUUUUUUUCCUUUCUCUUCUUUUGUUUCCCUCCUUCCUCUACGAUCGCCGGCCAUAGAUGACAGCCGCCUCACCGUGAGGGCUGACCUCGCCAGAAUCUGGUCCUUCUAGUGGUCCUAUAGAGAAUCGCAAGGAGGGAGAGACUGAGAGUUUUUCCAACAAGAGAGGGCCAUCGUUGGGUCGGAUGAGGAGGUUCACAAGCAGCCAGAACGUGCUGGCAAACUUCAACUGGACGACGCAGGUGGCGUCGGUGGACGCAGGAGAGCAGAGGAACUGUUACUUUGGCAACAAAGACAGACGACGAGCAAGAUGAUGACGACGGCGACGAAGUGGUGAUUCCAUUUUCGGCCCCCAUUUUGGUAGGUGGAGUGGAGUCGAAGGCGAAGAAGGAAUUGAAUCUGUGGAAGAGAAGGACAAUGGCUCACCCUCAGCCACCUUGCUUGCGACAUCCCCAAUUAUUCUGCAAAUGUAAUCGUGUUCUCGAAUGAUUGUGCUCAUGGAUUCCCAAUUUCUGACGUUUUUCCUUCUUUUUUUUUUUUUUUUUUGGGGGAUUUCAGUUUGGGUUGGCCUCACCUCUUCAAAAGGACCAGAUUCCAGCGAGGUCACCCUUGUCAGAUGCGGCGAGGGCAAGCCUCACCAACCCUCGUUUGUGGCCUGUCACCCUUCAUCAAGGAGGCUGCAGCCAGAGUGGAAGAAGAAAAAAAAAUAAAAACUAAAAAUUUCGGAAAAAUAAUAAAAAAUUAUUUAAGUUAACAAUUUUCAGCUGAAAUUGACCGAAUGACUAUAUUGGCAAAUUUUCAGAGGGUCUAGGAUUAAUUUGACUGAAUAAAAAUGUUUAGGACUGUAUUGAUAUAAUUACAAUAGAUUUAAGAUUUUUUUGGUAAUUUUCCAAACACUUACUUAUCAAAAAAGAAAAGUUAAGGUGGAAGCAAAGUACCCGUUAGCAACUUUCUCGGACUCCCAUCCAUGUAAGUAACUCACUUCUUUGAGUGCUUGCUGCCCUUUCUG